AGUGAACGCUGGCGGUAGGCCUAACACAUGCAAGUCGAACGGCAGCACAGUAAGAGCUUGCUCUUACGGGUGGCGAGUGGCGGACGGGUGAGGAAUACAUCGGAAUCUACUUUUUCGUGGGGGAUAACGUAGGGAAACUUACGCUAAUACCGCAUACGACCUACGGGUGAAAGCAGGGGAUCUUCGGACCUUGCGCGAUUGAAUGAGCCGAUGUCGGAUUAGCUAGUUGGCGGGGUAAAGGCCCACCAAGGCGACGAUCCGUAGCUGGUCUGAGAGGAUGAUCAGCCACACUGGAACUGAGACACGGUCCAGACUCCUACGGGAGGCAGCAGUGGGGAAUAUUGGACAAUGGGCGCAAGCCUGAUCCAGCCAUACCGCGUGGGUGAAGAAGGCCUUCGGGUUGUAAAGCCCUUUUGUUGGGAAAGAAAAGCAGCAGAUUAAUACCCCGCUGUUCUGACGGUACCCAAAGAAUAAGCACCGGCUAACUUCGU
rnacentral:rRNA from 1 species